rnacentral:rRNA from 1 species
CCUACGGGAGGCAGCAGUGGGGGAUAUUGGACAAUGGGGGGAACCCUGAUCCAGCGACGCCGCGUGAGUGAAGAAGUAUUUCGGUAUGUAAAGCUCUGUCAGCAGGGAAGAAAGAAAUGACGGUACCUGACCAAGAAGCCCCGGCUAACUACGUGCCAGCAGCCGCGGUAAUACGUAGGGGGCAAGCGUUAUCCGGAAUUACUGGGUGUAAAGGGAGCGUUGACGGUUAAGUAAGUCUGGAGUGAAAGGCCGGGGCCCAACCCCGGGACUGCUCUGGAAACUAUUGAACUUGAGUGCAGGAGAGGUAAGCGGAAUUCCUAGUGUAGCGGUGAAAUGCGUAGAGAUUAGGAGGAACACCAGUGGCGAAGGCGGCUUACUGGACUGUAACUGACGUUGAGGCUCGAAAGCGUGGGGAGCAAACAGGAUUAGAUACCCGAGUAGUC